rnacentral:rRNA from 1 species
UACGGAGGGCGCGAGCGUUAAUCGGAAUUACUGGGCGUAAAGCGCGCGUAGGCUGUUGUGUAAGUUGGGGGUGAAAUCCCACGGCUCAACCGUGGAACAGCCCUUGAUACUGCGCGACUUGGAUCCGGGAGAGGGUGGCGGAAUUCCAGGUGUAGGAGUGAAAUCCGUAGAUAUCUGGAGGAACAUCAGUGGCGAAGGCGGCCACCUGGACCGGUAUUGACGCUGAGGCGCGAAAGCGUGGGGAGCAAACAGG